rnacentral:rRNA from 1 species
CAGUCGCCGCGGUAAUACGUAGGUGGCAAGCGUUGUCCGGAAUUAUUGGGCGUAAAGGGCUCGCAGGCGGUUUCUUAAGUCUGAUGUGAAAGCCCCCGGCUCAACCGGGGAGGGUCAUUGGAAACUGGGAAACUUGAGUGCAGAAGAGGAGAGUGGAAUUCCACGCGUAGCGGUGAAAUGCGUAGAGAUGUGGAGGAACACCAGUGGCGAAGGCGACUCUCUGGUCUGUAACUGACGCUGAGGAGCGAAAGCGUGGGGAGCGAACAGGAUUAGAUACCCCCGUAGUCCCUGUCUCUUAUAC